CGACUGUUUACUAAAAACACAGGACUCUGCAAACACGCAAGUGGAAGUAUAGGGUCUGACGCCUGCCCGGUGCUGGAAGGUUAAUAGGAGGGGUGCAAGCUCUAAAUUGAAGCCCCAGUAAACGGCGGCCGUAACACUGACGGUCCUAAGGUAGCGAAAUUCCUUGUCGGGUAAGUUCCGACCCGCACGAAUGGCGUAACGAUUUCUCCACUGUCUCCAACAUCACUUCAGCGAAAUUGAAUUCCCCGUGCAGAUGCGGGGUACCCGCGGUUAGACGAAGAGACCCCGUGCACCUUUACUAUAGCUUUACAUUGCUAUUAAAAGUGUGAUGUGCAGGAUAGGUGGGAGACUUUGAAGUUAUGGCGCUAGCUAUAAUGGAGUCAAACUUGAGAUACCACCCUUUACACUUUUGAUAUCUAACUAUGUUUCAUUAUCUGGAACUAGGACAUUGUAUGGUGGGUAGUUUGACUGGGGCGGUCGCCUCCUAAAAAGUAACGGAGGCGUGCGAAGGUAAGCUAGAGCUGGUCGGAAAUCAGCUUGAUAGUAUAAUGGCAUAAGCUUGCCUGACUGCGAGGCUGACAAGCCAAGCAGAGACGAAAGUCGGUCAUAGUGAUCCGGUGAUUCUGUAUGGAAGGGUCAUCGCUCAACGGAUAAAAGGUACGCCGGGGAUAACAGGCUGAUGGUGUUCGAGCGUUCAUAGCGACAACACCGUUUGGCACCUCGAUGUCGACUCAUCACAUCCUGGGGCUGAAGAAGGUCCCAAGGGUUCGGCUGUUCGCCGAUUAAAGUGAUACGUGAGUUGGGUUUAGAACGUCGUGAGACAGUUCGGUUUCUAUCUGCCGUGGGUGAAGGAAAUUUGAGAAGGUCUGACUCUAGUACGAGAGGACCGAGAUGGAUAUACCUCUGGUGUACCAGCUGUUAUGCCAAUAGCAUCGCUGGGUAGCUAUGUAUAGAUGGGAUAAUUGCUGAAAGCAUAUAAGCAAGAAACCCUCUUCAAA
rnacentral:rRNA from 1 species